rnacentral:lncRNA from 1 species
CAUAGAUGUAUCCUAGCUAAUCUGUGAAGCUAACUUGAAGAAAUAAAACUAGCAACCAAUAGGGCAGGGUCUCUCCAAGGGAAUUUAAUGGCAGAUACAGUCCGAAGAAGUUUGUACAUUACCUCAAGGCAAAACUCAAUUUAUUUUGGUCUCGUUUAAACAAAUUAAUGUAAGAUAUAACAGAUAAGGAAGAGACAGUGAUUAAUGCCAGCUUGAUCUACGGAAAAAUAUUUCUUAACUAAACAAUUUUCCUAUUGCAAUACGUUUACAUAAAAACUUCCAGUUUUUGUGGUACUCCAUUUUCUGAUAGCAGAAAACUGUUCCCCUGAAAAUGCUUUGACCUCUGCUAUAACUUGUUGAACUGAAGCCUAUAGUGAAAGAUGAGAACAAUAUAGAUGUGCAUGGCCAUAAGUAUUUUAUUACAAGGAUUAUCGUACUUGCCCUUGUAACAGCCAGAAGCAAACAUGAGUUGCAUCUGGUAGGAAUCUGUCAGCUCUCAGACCAUUUGAGAAAAGAAGCACAUGUUGGCAGUAUCCAUAAAUAGGGCAUUACAGGAGUAAAUAAAGUAGCAAAUGGUCAAGCAGAUGGUACUUCCUACCUUAUUAGUCCUGUUAAAGCCCAGAAGUCACAGAAGAGAAGACACAAGACAAUGUACCAAACAUACCCGUAGACAGUACCUGUACCAGAAAAUUCACCCAUGGAAUUGGAGAAGGAAUUAACCUCAAAGCUGGGGAAACAAGGAACAGAAAUAACUGAAAAUCUUAAAUUAUGCCUAAGAAAAAGGAACCCACGCAUUGGAUAGUCUGCAGCAAAUUGUUCAGCUUCACCUUCCUACACUUUGAGUUCCCACUACCAUUUCACUUCAUCUAAUUGCUUCAUUUUCUCAAGUCAUUCACUUUGUGCUUUCAGAAACACCAGACUUUUCACCAAUGGAAAGGCACAGGUACCUCAGCCUUUGCAAAGGUUCAUCUCUCUUACCUUCUUGCUUCUGUCUGUUAUAAAGAAUUGAAACAAUUUCUGAAAUUACCCCCAGAAAAUAUCUAUGAAAUGUCUUUUGUUGGUCAGAAAGUGAUAGGAGCUGUGAUUGUUCAAACUAAAGCACAACACUUGUAUUUUCCUAGCAAACAGGAUUUCCUGGCAGUAUUACUUUUUCUCAUUUAAAUGUCUAUAUACAGAGAAGUUCAAUCUCUCAGCCAGCCUGUAAAAGGUGUCAGUAUGAACCUACACAUGGUCCUGCAUGUGAUCUUAGAAAACUAAGUAUGUGAACUUAGAAAACUAACAAACUUAGAAAACUAAGUUUGUCUGAAACUUGUGGAUCUUCCCAGGUGUUUGUGGUUUUAGUUUGGUCUGAGCUUGGGUACAGUCAUACAUGGAAAGCGUUUUACGGAUUAUUCUCAUCAGUAGAGAAUGACAAGAGUGGUAAAACUACCAGAAGUCCUACUAGCUGAAGUAUUAAUGUUUCUUGGUAGGUGGUUUCCUGUGAGUAAGGUACAAAUAGUUCCACCUGAAAAUGAAGAGCCAAGUCUUUAUCAUCACUUUGUGUUCAAGAGUACAAAUUGGGGUGGCUGGUCAAAUCCAUAUAGUCUUCUCAUUCAAUUGUCAACAAGCAGACAGUUGGAAACAUUGCUCUGAUAUGUGUCCACAGCAAUGACUCCCUAUGCUUUAUCAAUUUAUCUAUCUAUUUAUUUUUAUAUUUAUUUUUGUGGAACAUGACAGUGCACUGAAAAACGUAUUAUUUAAUGUGGAAAGAAAGUGUGUUGCAUACUUUCAACUUUUGGAUUUCCAUGUGGGGAAAAGAAAAAUCUAAUCAGAACAUGAUAAUUUUGAUGAAAGUAUGACUACCCUAUCAUUUCAAAAUAUCUGAAAUGUAAGUUUGGAGUUAGACAAAGAUGACUUUAAGAAGACAAAAUAAUAUUUAGAAAUCAAAAUUGCUCUUGGAACAAAAAGAACAGUAUAAUCUUUACAGAGUUCAUGGAAUCAUAGAAUCAUAGAAUGGCCUGGAUUGAAAAGGACCUCAAAGAUCAUCUGGUUUCAACCCCUCUGCUGUGAGCCUGGUCGCCAACCUCUAGACCAGGCUGCCCAGAGCCACAUCCAGUCACAUCCAGAGUUUUUUUGAAAACAGUAAUAUCAUAACAUCAUAUUCAACCUGAAAUGCAUUGGGGUAAUGUAAGAAAGUACAAGCAAUAAAAUAAAUAACAAAACAGACUAUAUGAAAAACAGUCAUGCUGAAACUGUAAAUAAAGGGCAAAGCAAUAAAACAAAAUGUUAAAAUGUUCUGUCAUUGCAUAACAUACUUGUAAACUUUACAUUAAUUAUAGCAGAAGUAAUAAGAUUUAUGAAGGAGCUGUGAUUUUCAAGAUGACACUGUGUCUUUAAAUUAAAAAAUAUUGUACAACCUCUUUCUUGUGUCUUGUCUUUUCACCAACUGGAACAAUCUGACACUGAAUUUUUUGCAAUAGAACCACUGCUUCAGGUCACAUUCUUUGUCCAAAUUGAUGAGACAUGGCACAGUAGGGCUCAUUUUCAGAACAGCUUGUAGGAGAAUUAAACAACUUAGAUCACUGUUAACGGGAGUCCUGCUCCUUAUCUCUUCUCAGUGUAUGCUGAGGAUUUACCCCAUUGUUGGGAGAUAUUUGCAAGACUAACACAAGCUUUUGAGAAAUAAGUGAUAUUUUAUGUGGUCUUGCAGGGCAAAGUUUGGGGGUGGGGAGAGAAAGGCAGCAAGUUUCUAUUUGUGAAGGUCACAUGUGAGAUAUUUUUGAACUUAAUGGUGUUGUACAUAAUUAGGUGACACAACUCUCAUGUCUGCUGGUAAUUCAGCCUGACCCC